rnacentral:rRNA from 1 species
UACGUAGGGUGCGAGCGUUGUCCGGAAUUAUUGGGCGUAAAGAGCUCGUAGGCGGUUUGUCGCGUCGGCCGUGAAAACUUGGGGCUUAACCCCAAGCCUGCGGUCGAUACGGGCAGACUUGAGUUCGGCAGGGGAGACUGGAAUUCCUGGUGUAGCGGUGAAAUGCGCAGAUAUCAGGAGGAACACCGGUGGCGAAGGCGGGUCUCUGGGCCGAUACUGACGCUGAGGAGCGAAAGCCAGGGGAGCAAACGGG